UCAAGGAAAAAUAAGAGUCAUGCUCAUAACAUUUCUGAAGUGGGACUAUUAAGAAUUUCCACUAACAAGAGUGCACUAAUAUUUGAAACAACUACUCAGACUUUUUGACAUUUUUCUGGCAAUAACUUUACCACCAACAUCAUCAUUGCACUGUAAGGCCAUAUUUAAUUUAAUUACACAUCUCACA